UACGUAGGGUGCGAGCGUUAAUCGGAAUUACUGGGCGUAAAGCGUGCGCAGGCGGUUCGUUGUGUCUGUGGUGAAAGCCCCGGGCUUAACCUGGGAAUGGCCAUGGAAACUGGCGAGCUGGAGUGUGGCAGAGGGGGGUGGAAUUCCGCGUGUAGCAGUGAAAUGCGUAGAGAUGCGGAGGAAUACCGAUGGCGAAGGCAGCCCCCUGGGCUAACACUGACGCUCAGGCACGAAAGCGUGGGGAGCAAACAGG
rnacentral:rRNA from 1 species